AAAUUGAAGAGUUUGAUCAUGGCUCAGAUUGAACGCUGGCGGCAGGCCUAACACAUGCAAGUCGAACGGUAACAGGAAGCAGCUUGCUGCUUUGCUGACGAGUGGCGGACGGGUGAGUAAUGUCUGGGAAACUGCCUGAUGGAGGGGGAUAACUACUGGAAACGGUGGCUAAUACCGCAUAACGUCGCAAGACCAAAGAGGGGGACCUUCGGGCCUCUUGCCAUCAGAUGUGCCCAGAUGGGAUUAGCUUGUUGGUGAGGUAACGGCUCACCAAGGCGACGAUCCCUAGCUGGUCUGAGAGGAUGACCAGCCACACUGGAACUGAGACACGGUCCAGACUCCUACGGGAGGCAGCAGUGGGGAAUAUUGCACAAUGGGCGCAAGCCUGAUGCAGCCAUGCCGCGUGUAUGAAGAAGGCCUUCGGGUUGUAAAGUACUUUCAGCGGGGAGGAAGGUGUUGUGGUUAAUAACCGCAGCAAUUGACGUUACCCGCAGAAGAAGCACCGGCUAACUCCGUGCCAGCAGCCGCGGUAAUACGGAGGGUGCAAGCGUUAAUCGGAAUUACUGGGCGUAAAGCGCACGCAGGCGGUCUGUCAAGUCGGAUGUGAAAUCCCCGGGCUCAACCUGGGAACUGCAUUCGAAACUGGCAGGCUUGAGUCUUGUAGAGGGGGGUAGAAUUCCAGGUGUAGCGGUGAAAUGCGUAGAGAUCUGGAGGAAUACCGGUGGCGAAGGCGGCCCCCUGGACAAAGACUGACGCUCAGGUGCGAAAGCGUGGGGAGCAAACAGGAUUAGAUACCCUGGUAGUCCACGCCGUAAACGAUGUCUACUUGGAGGUUGUGCCCUUGAGGCGUGGCUUCCGGAGCUAACGCGUUAAGUAGACCGCCUGGGGAGUACGGCCGCAAGGUUAAAACUCAAAUGAAUUGACGGGGGCCCGCACAAGCGGUGGAGCAUGUGGUUUAAUUCGAUGCAACGCGAAGAACCUUACCUGGUCUUGACAUCCACGGAAGAAUUCAGAGAUGGAUUUGUGCCUUCGGGAACCGUGAGACAGGUGCUGCAUGGCUGUCGUCAGCUCGUGUUGUGAAAUGUUGGGUUAAGUCCCGCAACGAGCGCAACCCUUAUCCUUUGUUGCCAGCGAUUCGGUCGGGAACUCAAAGGAGACUGCCAGUGAUAAACUGGAGGAAGGUGGGGAUGACGUCAAGUCAUCAUGGCCCUUACGACCAGGGCUACACACGUGCUACAAUGGCGCAUACAAAGAGAAGCGACCUCGCGAGAGCAAGCGGACCUCAUAAAGUGCGUCGUAGUCCGGAUUGGAGUCUGCAACUCGACUCCAUGAAGUCGGAAUCGCUAGUAAUCGUGGAUCAGAAUGCCACGGUGAAUACGUUCCCGGGCCUUGUACACACCGCCCGUCACACCAUGGGAGUGGGUUGCAAAAGAAGUAGGUAGCUUAACCUUCGGGAGGGCGCUUACCACUUUGUGAUUCAUGACUGGGGUGAAGUCGUAACAAGGUAACCGUAGGGGAACCUGCGGUUGGAUCACCUCCUUACCUUAAAGAA
rnacentral:rRNA from 3 species